rnacentral:rRNA from 2 species
UACAGAGGGUGCGAGCGUUGUCCGGAAUCACUGGGCGUAAAGGGCGCGUAGGCGGCCUGAUAAGUAGGGGGUGAAAUCCUGUGGCUUAACUGCAGGGCUGCCUCCUAGACUGUUAGGCUCGAGCACGGUAGAGGCAGAUGGAAUUCCCGGUGUAGCGGUGGAAUGCGUAGAGAUCGGGAAGAACAUCGGUGGCGAAGGCGGUCUGCUGGGCCGUUGCUGACGCUGAGGCGCGACAGCGUGGGGAGCAAACAGG